UAAAGAUUUAUAUGGCAUUGUUUUAUCUGAUGAAGUGUCUGAGAAAAUAAGAUUUUUUUGUCUUAAGAUUGUUCCAAGAAUGUAAUAAAGCAGCAUCAUUUUGGUUGCACCGGUUAGCUCCCAAUUGUUAUGACACAGACAGAGUGUUCCAAGAUCUCUACAUAACUAAAGAAAAUCUCUGUGGUUCUACAAAUUGUGAUGGAUAUCCGUGUAGAUGAAGAAUACAUCCCAUAUGUACAGAUUGUUCCAGGAAUGGUAUAAAGCAGCAUCAUUUUGGUUGUACAGGUUAUCUCCUAGAUCCUAAUGACACAGACACAGGGUUCCGUACACUCUACAUAACCAAAUUCUCUGUGAUCAGAUUCCAGUCCAGUGCUGUGUACAAAGGACUCUCCUCAGUCAAUCAAUGUAAGGCCUCAGCACCACGUACAGUAUAUGUACAGUAUACA